rnacentral:rRNA from 1 species
UACGGAGGAUCCAAGCGUUAUCCGGAUUUACUGGGUUUAAAGGGUGUGUAGGCGGGCUUUUAAGUCAGCGGUGAAAUCUCCGGGCUCAACCCGGAAACUGCCAUUGAUACUAUUAGUCUUGAAUUUUGUUGAGGUAGGCGGAAUAAGUCAUGUAGCGGUGAAAUGCAUAGAUAUGACUUAGAACACCAAUUGCGAAGGCAGCUUGCUAAACAAAUAUUGACGCUGAGGCACGAAAGCGUGGGGAUCAAACAGG